AAUGGGUUUCUGUAUAAGGGAUCCCAUACCUGUACUGAGAUAUUGUUACACACAGAAAUCUGAACAGCCCUUCGAAAGCCAUAUGCCCUAUUGGAUUAACACUUCCUGAAAGGUUCUACUAUUCCGAGGGCCCGCUUUCCAUAUGCUAAGUUCCAGACCUUACAGCACAAUGUAUUUUAUUAUACCCCUUUUGUUAUAUAUAUUAGAGCUUUUCUUAAUAAAAAAAACCAUAUUGA